rnacentral:rRNA from 1 species
CGGGGGCCCGCACAAGCGGUGGAGCAUGUGUNUCAAUUCGAAGCAACGCGCAGAACCUUACCAGCCCUUGACAUGCCACGACGGUUCCCAGAGAUGGGCUCCUCCCCGCAAGGGGCGUGGACACAGGUGCUGCAUGUCUGUCGUCAGCUCGUGUCGUGAGAUGUUGGGUUAAGUCCCGCGACGAGCGCAACCGUCGCCUUUAGUUGCCACCAUUUAGUUGGGCACUUCUAAGGGGACUGCCGGUGAUAAGCCGCGAGGAAGGUGGGGAUGACGUCAAUGUCUUCAUGGGCCUAUUAGCGGGUCUGGGUAUACACGACGUGUUCACAAUCGGCGGUGACCAAUGGGGAUGCUGAUGGGGGCAGACCUUUGAGCAAAUGUACAAAAAGCCUUCUCAGUUCGGGUUGUGCUGCUGCAACUGCGAGCACAUGAAGUCGGAAUCGCUAGUAAUCGCAGAUCAGCACGCUGCGGUGAAUACGUUCCCGGGCUUUGUACACACCGCCCGUCA